AUUGAACGCUGGCGGCAUGCCUUACACAUGCAAGUCGGACGAAGUCUUCGGACUUAGUGGCGGACGGGUGAGUAACACGUGGGAACGUGCCUUUAGGUUCGGAAUAACUCAGGGAAACUUGUGCUAAUACCGAAUGUGCCCUUCGGGGGAAAGAUUUAUCGCCUUUAGAGCGGCCCGCGUCUGAUUAGCUAGUUGGUGAGGUAAAGGCUCACCAAGGCUACGAUCAGUAGCUGGUCUGAGAGGAUGACCAGCCACAUUGGGACUGAGACACGGCCCAAACUCCUACGGGAGGCAGCAGUGGGGAAUCUUGCGCAAUGGGCGAAAGCCUGACGCAGCCAUGCCGCGUGGAUGAUGAAGGUCUUAGGAUUGUAAAAUCCUUUCACCGGUGAAGAUAAUGACUGUAGCCGGAGAAGAAGCCCCGGCUAACUUCGUGCCAGCCGCCGCUGUAAAAC
rnacentral:rRNA from 1 species